AGUUUUGGCGAAGAAACCAUCCUGAUGUUGGGGUAACAGGAAUUUCUGCAGAGUGAUUGUCAAUGACAUUUUGUGAACUUUACAAUUUUGUCUGUCUAGUUUUGGCGAAGAAACCAUCCUGAUGUUGGGGUAACAGGAAUUUCUGCAGAGUGAUUGUCAAUGACAUUUUGUGAACUUUACAAUUUUGUCUGUCUAGUUUUGGCGAAGAAACCAUCCUGAUGUUGGGGUAACAGGAAUUUCUGCAGAGUGAUUGUCAAUGACAUUUUGUGAACUUUACAAUUUUGUCUGUCUAGUUUUGGCGAAGAAACCAUCCUGAUGUUGGGGUAACAGGAAUUUCUGCAGAGUGAUUGUCAAUGACAUUUUGUGAACUUUACAAUUUUGUCUGUCUAGUUUUGGCGAAGAAACCAUCCUGAUGUUGGGGUAACAGGAAUUUCUGCAGAGUGAUUGUCAAUGACAUUUUGUGAACU